CUUGAUACCCCUAUUACCGAGGCUGGGUUUGCCGGUAUUGGAGUUGGCUCUGCAUAUCAUGGUCUGAAGCCAGUGAUAGAGUUUUUGACUUUCAACUUCUCUAUGCAGGCGAUUGACCAUGUUAUCAACUCUGUAGCAAAGUCAAACUACAUGUCUGCUGGGCAGAUUAAUGUACCCAUUGUUUUUAGAGGACCAAAUGGGCCCGCUGCGGGUGUUGGUGCUCAACAUUCCCAGGUUUGUUUGUUUUUUUUAUUGACUCUCU